rnacentral:rRNA from 1 species
AUUGAACGCUGGCGGCAGGCCUAACACAUGCAAGUCGAGCGGAUGAUGGGAGCUUGCUCCUGGAUUCAGCGGCGGACGGGUGAGUAAUGCCUAGGAAUCUGCCUGGUAGUGGGGGACAACGUUUCGAAAGGAACGCUAAUACCGCAUACGUCCUACGGGAGAAAGCAGGGGACCUUCGGGCCUUGCGCUAUCAGAUGAGCCUAGGUCGGAUUAGCUUGUUGGUGAGGUAAUGGCUCACCAAGGCGACGAUCCGUAACUGGUCUGAGAGGAUGAUAAGUCACACUGGAACUGAGACACGGUCCAGACUCCUACGGGAGGCAGCAGUGGGGAAUAUUGGACAAUGGGCGAAAGCCUGAUCCAGCCAUGCCGCGUGUGUGAAGAAGGUCUUCGGAUUGUAAAGCACUUUAAGUUGGGAGGAAGGGUUGUAGAUUAAUACUCUGCAAUUUUGACGUUACCGACAGAAUAAGCACCGGCUAACUCUGUGCCAGCCGCCGCAGUAA